GUCCAUAAAAAAUGUGACAGUGACACAUUUAUAUAUUAAAUGUUUAUAAAAUGCGCUUGUUGCACCAAUUUUAUCCGUACGGCAAGAAAAGAGAAGCAAACCUCUGCAAUUGUGCAUUCCGAAGCCAGAAAUGUUAUUAAAAGGGUCGUGGAAUUCUUUGGAAAAGAGAAAGCUGCCGGUGUGUAGAUAUUUCCUUUGGGAAAGGGAGCAGAGCUAGCUGCUGCUGCGACAGCUCUGCUCCCGGCAAACCAACAAAAUUCAUAACCCAGAUUAGAUCGAAGUCAAACUUGCCGAUGAUAUAGGACAUGGAAAUUUCCAUCAAAGAAGCAAGGAAGUGCAACUUCCUACAAAAUAACAUUGGAUAAUUCUGAUUUACGCGUCUUGAAGAAUGAAAUUUACAUGAUCCAUAACAAAGUCUCUACAAUCAAUAAUUUA